GAUGAACGCUAGCUACAGGCUUAACACAUGCAAGUCGAAGGGAAACGGCAUUGAGUGCUUGCACUCUUUGGACGUCGACCGGCGCACGGGUGAGUAACGCGUAUCCAACCUUCCCAUUACUGUGGGAUAACCUGCCGAAAGGCAGACUAAUACCGCAUAGUCUUCGAUGACGGCAUCAGAUUUGAAGUAAAGAUUUAUCGGUAAUGGAUGGGGAUGCGUCUGAUUAGCUUGUUGGUGGGGUAACGGCCCACCAAGGCAACGAUCAGUAGGGGUUCUGAGAGGAAGGUCCCCCACAUUGGAACUGAGACACGGUCCAAACUCCUACGGGAGGCAGCAGUGAGGAAUAUUGGUCAAUGGACGGAAGUCUGAACCAGCCAAGUAGCGUGCAGGAUGACGGCCCUAUGGGUUGUAAACUGCUUUUGUAUGGGGAUAAAGUUAGGGACGUGUCCCUAUUUGCAGGUACCAUACGAAUAAGGACCGGCUAAUUCCGUGCCAGCAGCCGCGGUAAUACGGAAGGUCCAGGCGUUAUCCGGAUUUAUUGGGUUUAAAGGGAGCGUAGGCUGGAGAUUAAGUGUGUUGUGAAAUGUAGACGCUCAACGUCUGAAUUGCAGCGCAUACUGGUUUCCUUGAGUACGCACAACGUUGGCGGAAUUCGUCGUGUAGCGGUGAAAUGCUUAGAUAUGACGAAGAACUCCGAUUGCGAAGGCAGCUGACGGGAGCGCAACUGACGCUUAAGCUCGAAGGUGCGGGUAUCAAACAGG
rnacentral:rRNA from 1 species